UAAGACUAAAGAUGUAGAGAACUUUCUAACAAGUUGUAUAAAGUUUUAAUUCUGAUAAUUAUUUGACUUUGUCCAUUCCGCUUACUGUUAUUUACAGACACAUACAUGUAUUAUUUACGCUAUAUGACGCAUAAUUUCCGGAAGAGCUUAAAAUAUUUAAUUACAAAUGAACUGAAGUGAAAUUCAAGAACAUCUUGUGUGAAGAGCUUUUGACGUUCUUAAAACGGAAAUCGUCACUUUCUGAAGAAGGCGUUUGAUCACAAGUAUAUUAAAGUAAAUACACAUAAAGGGAAAUUUGACAUAGCAUCGUAUAUGAUCAGUGAUCUACGAGAUAUCUACAUCAUAAAAGCUGUAAAUUGUUCUGGGAACCACAAUCAUGAAGAUGCCAAUACUAUCUUGUAUCAUCUGGCUGGUUAUAACUGUGGAUCUUGCACUUUCAGUACCAACUGCCUACAGACAAAAAAGAUGGGAUUGGUUUUCGAGGGCAAGUGAAUUGUAUCACAAUGUCAGAGAUCACAUAAGUGAUUCCGUUGACACCGUUGGAGAUUUGGCUGAUACUAUAGGUGUCCAUGCACGGGAACACCUUAAUCUGGCUGCAGACCAUUUAGAAGACAUAGGAGUUCCACGUGAAAGAAUUGAUGAAGCAGGCGAAAGACUGAAUAAUAUAACAAGUCAGGCGGUUCAGAGAGGACAGGAAAUAAUUGAGAAUGGCAAAAAUGAACUUUCCAGAG